rnacentral:rRNA from 1 species
AAUAGAUACCCUGGUAGUCCACGCCGUAAACGAUGAGUGCUAAGUGUUGGAGGGUUUCCGCCCUUCAGUGCUGCAGCUAACGCAUUAAGCACUCCGCCUGGGGAGUACGGUCGCAAGACUGAAACUCAAAGGAAUUGACGGGGGCCCGCACAAGCGGUGGAGCAUGUGGUUUAAUUCGAAGCAACGCGAAGAACCUUACCAGGUCUUGACAUCUCCUGACCGCCCUGGAGACAGGGUCUUCCCUUCGGGGACAGGAUGACAGGUGGUGCAUGGUUGUCGUCAGCUCGUGUCGUGAGAUGUUGGGUUAAGUCCCGCAACGAGCGCAACCCUUGGUUCUAGUUGCCAGCAUUCAGUUGGGGCACGUCUAGAGCGACUGCCGGCGACAAGUCGGAGGAAGGUGGGGAUGACGUCAAAUCAUCAUGCCCCUUAUGACCUGGGCUACACACGUGCUACAAUGGAUGGUACAAAGGGCAGCAAAGCGGCGACGCAUGAGCGAAUCCCAGAAAACCAUUCUCAGUUCGGU